GUUUUCACUCCACCCCACCCACCCCCUUUUUUCUUCCCUUUUAGAAAAUGUGAUACCUGAUCUCUGGGUCUAGCAGGGCUGAGGAUUUUUUUUUUGUAUUUGUAUAACACAGUGUCUGGCCUUCCCCCUGACCUGCUGGUGUAUUUUUGGUCUCAUUAGUAGUCAGGCAGAAGCCUUAGUGCAUCCGGUGCUGGGAGUCAGGGAUGAGACACACGACAGCAGAGAGAAGGAGCGGGCGAGAGGAUAUUAGAAGAGAGGCUUGCCUCCAAGAUAUGGAAGGAAGUGAGAAAUGACAGGACGACGGCAAGCUUUGUAUGGAGGAGCCUGGCAGGGCGGGGGAGCCGUGAGGAGCGCGAAGUGGGUUCUCAGAAGCCCUAGAAGAGCUAAAGGUGAUUAGAGGGGGAUAUUGAUUCCUUACUCUGCCAGAGAUUUAAGCAGGCAUGCGAGGAAUCUGCACCAUGGUUGGCAAAAGGAGACCCAUCGCCUCCUGUAACCAGACACUCGGGCUUUCCAGGAGCCCAGGGAGAGAACCGAGAAGAAAGGGGGCAGUGUGGUCUAGGAAAAUUCAACUUGUCGCUGAUUUGUGCCUGACGCUUGCUGUCCGUCAGCAGCCUCCCUUACAAUCUUUUUUUCCUCUCUCUCCCUUUUUUUCUUGCCUUCUCCUUCUUCACUGAAGCCUAGGGGAGCCAGUAAAGAUUAAAUGUGCUUUCUCAAAGGCAGCCACUUCAUGCUGCUAUGUCGAAAGGGCCAUUAUUAUUAUGUUUUUAACAGUAAAAGAAAAAGGGAGAGAGGUUGAGAGAGAGAGAGAGAGAGAGAGAGAGAAGCUAGGUAGGAUGAUGACGGACUAGCUUUUCUGAGAGGAAAAGGAAAAGGGAAGGGAGAGAAAAAGGAGAGACCCUGAACUGAACAGAGGAUUGUGCCUGCGAAGAACCUACAGAGUGCCUUCCUUUGCAGGGGCUGCUUUGUCAUUCUCUUUGACUAGCCAUCCAUCCACCUUGCUCACGCUGGAAUAAAAGAAGAAAAAGAAGGAGGAAAGGAAAGGAAACAGAAGGAAAGAAAAAAAGGGGAAGAAAAAAUUUUUAAAGAGUCAUCUUCCCACCCACUUCCCCUCCCUUUCGUUUCAUUUUUGGAGGCGGCACUAGGAGCCAUCUCCGCAGAGGAAAGCCCAGCUUCCAGGCAGACGCGGGGAAGCGACGAUCUAUCAGGUACAGAGCCCGUAGCUGUCUGCGAAGAUGGAGGGGAAUUGUGCUUCGGAUUCCUCCGAAAUAUUGGCAAACGGCUUCAAAGGAUCCGCGGCGGGAGUGGGGCGGGGGAGAUGCGCCUCCCCGGCUCGCGCCCACCCCUUCCCACUCGCCUCGACCAAGUGACAGCCUGGUGCUGGCUCGGGGUGAUUUGGCCUUGGCUCCAGCCAAGCAGCUGAUGUACAGGAGGCCCUUCGCAGGACUGGCAAAGUGCACGCUAAAGAAAGAAGGAGGAAAUUUUGAAAAGCAGCCCUGGGGAGGGUUCUCAUUCUUCGAAAAACAUUUUUUUUUGAAUUUUUAACCUAAUAUUCUCAAAAUUUGAUCAGCCCCGUUCCCUCCCUCCACUCCCACCGAAUCGCCCUUUUUAACCCCCUCUCUCGUCAAAGCAUAAACUACAGAGUUACAGUCUCUAGAUUUGGUGUAUCGCUUCCUGCCCCCGCCUCCCCCUCCCUGCCCAGCUCUCAGUCCUCUAUUGAAACACCUCGCCCAGGCAAGCGCCCUGCAGCUCACGUUUCCCCCCCUGGCCCGGACGGUGCUACUGGAGGCUGCAGCCCGACUCCACUUCCAAUGGUAAGUUGCCUGUUGGAUAAACCUGAAGUUAUUCUUACGGAGCGCACUCUCCCAGAGCGAGGAUCGUGGUGCUCUCACACACUCUCAAGCAAUCCUGUUGCUUGACUGAUUCCUGAACAAGAUGAACAAUGAGCAAGCUCCGUUUUUCUGUCGUGUUGAUGUCCUUUCAGCUGGUCCUAUAGUCCCCCCUCCUCAGGAAUGUCUCCCCAGUGAAAGGACACAGACCACAGAGACUGCUGUCCUGAUGGACGCUCAAGCCGACUGUGAAGUUGAAACAAAGAAAGCGAUCACCUGAAGACACCUCUCCUGCCAAGUGACACACCCACAUGCUGCACCUUCAGCCAAUAGAAUCUCAGAACAAGAACAAGGCAAGCUUUUCAAGAAACAGAAACACUUAAGAAUGACGUCUAGAUUUCGAAGGAGCCAAGGACUUUUCCCUUCGUCAUGUGUAUUCCUGUUUGUAUUUAAAUUCUGUGUGACAUUCAUUUUUAAAAAACUUUUUUUCUAGUAUGAAUGAAUAUGCUUAUUAAUGCACCGAUUUUUAAAAUAGAAAGUUGUUCAUGCCGGAAGUAAAUUGAAUGUUAGCCACACACCGAGUUUGACCUUCAGAGUGACUUAAAGAAUAUAAAGUUCUUUUGAAAUAAUGAAAUAGUGGGAGGCGAUCCAAAGGAUAAAAUAAUGGUGAGAACUCAGACUGUGGCAUAGAAAUACAAGAUCCCACUGACGCCAGCCAACCAACCAACCAUUCUUUUUAUCGGGCAAGCUAGGUUCUGUGAGAUGUGGUCAGUGCCUCUGAAGAGUUUAAAUCUAGUGAGGCAGAGGCACAUAAACUUUUGAAAAGAUAAGUAACAAAUCAGGUCAACUGAUAAGAGCAAAACCAAAACAAAGCCAAAGAUAUAAACAAGGAGCUCAGGGGUCACCUUAAGCUGGGCAAACUGGUCUGUUUAGGGAAGAAAGUUCCCAAAGGAGGAAAAUACAAGAUGAAUCUUAAAGGCUGUUAAAGAUUUAGAUAAGUGGAAAGGAAGGAGAAAAUAGAGGCCUUUAGGUGGAUGCAAUAUUGUGAGAAAAGUCAGAGAGGAAAGCAUCUACGUGGUGGUUUUAGGGAAUUAUGAAUAUACAUGUCUUCUGCACUGCAUCCCAGACUUUCAGUGCCAAUGUAUAGAUAUAUAUACGGUGAAGACUUUGCACACACACACUUCCCCCCUCCCUCCCUAGGGGUAGCCUAGAAUUAUAAUCAUAUUUCUUCCAUUAAAGCAACUGAUAGGAAGAUUUGUGAUUUUUCUGUUAGCCUAGUAACAAUGGAUAUCUACUGAGUUCUCACUACAUGUUAAGCAUUCUCUAUGUUAACUCUCUUAAGCCUCACAACAACCUUGCCACAUAGAUGUUGUUUUUUAUUCCCAUUUUACACAAAGAAAACUGACUUUUAAUGAGGUUAAGUAACUUGCCAAACUGCCACAUACAGAGUUCACAAUCAGAAUUGCGACUGCAGAGCUCAUGAUCUAACGCGCUAAGUCACGAUAUUGCUACCAACGUUGUAAUAUUACCGCUUCUAUAUUCCUCGAUAUUUUUCUGUGGUAAAUAAAUAGCUAUUUCCCUUAAUUAGCUUCUCAAAUUUUUCAGUUUUCUGGUUAAACUCACAUGAUGGAAUGUAUUUUCAUGAAAGAAAUUGAAAAAAAUUGGGCAAUAGAGUCUAUCAGCAUUUUAGACCUUUUUUUGGGAGGGGGCCAGACUCUGAUGAAACUGUUCACUUCGGUCAGCAUGAAAUCUCAACUACUUGAGAAUAAAAAUAGGAGGUGGGCAGAGCUUAAAGGUCCUUUUCUACAGAUGUGAUAAAUCCAUAAAGUUUGAGUGACUUACGGAAGAUCACACGUUGAAGUGUAGCAGAGCUCGGUCCGGAAACCAUGCCGCCCUCAGAGGCUCUUGAACUUCUCCACCCUGUCUAAAUGAAGUGUGAGCUUGAAUUUGAUCAGUGAAAACAUUCUAUCUGGGUGAUCAGGGAGCAUUGUACCUAGUAGAUUGCUUCAAUUUUGCACCUCUUUGGCUUCUCACCUCAAUGUGAAAAUUAGCUAGCUACAAACUGACAUCUUUAGUUCCAGAAAUUGUCAGUGGUCCAUCCACAAAGAACACACAAUGGCCCAAGUUACGUGUGCAACGUCUUCAAUGAUAUUCUUAAGUUAUUUGGCAUUCUUAGUUCACCUAAACAAACCAGAUCUUCUAAUGAGCAUUUUCUUAACCAGUUUUAUGGACAGUAUAUAUUUGUAAGAGCUUCUGCAUGAAUAUUUAAACACCACUGUUUCAAUAGUCCUUAUGUUUUUUGAAAAUAUCAAUGGUUAUUUGCUAUUUUAAUUGUUACUAACUCAAGGAUACUUCAGCCAUAAAAAACUAGAACUGAGGAAACCUCACUCUUCUUUACCAGCCCCUUUGCCUUCAGUUGGCAUUUAGUAAUGGUUAAUAAAGUGGUCAGGGGCUUCCCUGGUGGCGCAGUGGUUGAGAGUCCGCCUGCCGAUGCCGAGGACAUGGAUUCAUGCCCCGGUCCGGGAAGAUCCCACAUGCUGCGGAGCGGCUGGGCCCGUGAGCCAUGGCUGCUGAGCCUGCACGUCCGGAGCCUCUGCUCCGCAACGGGAGCGGCCACAAAAGUGAGAGGCCCGCGUACCGCAAAAAAAAAAGAAAAAGUGAUCAGCUGGAGAACACAGAAGUUCAAAACAUAAUUUUGUCUUGAAGGAGUCAGUUAAUCUGUGUCUACUUAAGGGCGAGCAUCUAGAUGUUUGGAAGGAUCUGAAUAUUUGACUGCUGUAAACUUGCGCUUAGAUAUCUGGCAUUGUCACACUUAGACCUCCUGGUGGCUCAGGUCGUCCUGUUUUCAAAAUGAUGGUCAUUGGCCAUAUCUCACACAGUUCUCAUUAAGUGAACUCAUAAAUAAACAGUUUUUUUUUUUUUUUAAAGCAUAGCCAAGCACAAAAUGUGACUUUGUUGACAUUUUAUGAGACUUUGUCAUAUGUCCCCUGAACCCCCAAUAAAAGCAGUGGUGCAUCA